rnacentral:rRNA from 1 species
GGGGAUAACCCCGGGAAACUGGGGCUAAUCCCCCAUAGGCCUGAGGUACUGGAAGGUCCUCAGGCCGAAAGGGGCUCUGCCCGCCCGAGGAUGGGCCGGCGGCCGAUUAGGUAGUUGGUGGGGUAACGGCCCACCAAGCCGAAGAUCGGUACGGGCUGUGAGAGCAGGAGCCCGGAGAUGGACACUGAGACACGGGUCCAGGCCCUACGGGGCGCAGCAGGCGCGAAACCUCCGCAAUGCGGGAAACCGCGACGGGGGGACCCCGAGUGCCGUGGCAUCGCCACGGCUUUUCCGGAGUGUAAAAAGCUCCGGGAAUAAGGGCUGGGCAAGGCCGGUGGCAGCCGCCGCGGUAAUACCGGCGGCCCGAGUGGUGGCCGCUAUUAUUGGGCCUAAAGCGUCCGUAGCCGGGCCCGUAAGUCCCUGGCGAAAUCCCACGGCUCAACCGUGGGGCUUGCUGGGGAUACUGCGGGCCUUGGGGCCGGGAGAGGCGGGGGGUACCCCUGGGGUAGGGGUGAAAUCCUAUAAUCCCAGGGGGACCGCCAGUGGCGAAGGCGCCCCGCUGGAACGGGUCCGACGGUGAGGGACGAAGGCCAGGGGAGCAAACCGGAUUAGAUACCCGGGUAGUCCUGGCUGUAAAGGAUGCGGGUCUAGGUGUCGGGUGAGCUUCGGGCUCGCCCGGUGCCGUAGGGAAGCCGUUAAGCCCGCCGCCUGGGGAGUACGGCCGCCAAGGGCUGAAACUUAAAAGGAAUUGGCGGGGGAGCACUACAAGGGGGUGGAGCGUGCGGUUUUAUUGGAUUCNACGCCGGGGAACCUCACCGGGGGCGACGGCAGGAUGAAGGCCAGGCUGAAGGUCUUGCCGGACACGCCGAGAGGAGGUGCAUGGCCGCCGUCAGCUCGUACCGUGAGGCGUCCACUUAAGUGUGGUAACGAGCGAGACCCGCGCCCCCAGUUGCCAGCCCUUCCCGCUGGGAAGGGGGCACUCUGGGGGGACUGCCGGCGAUAAGCCGGAGGAAGGAGCGGGCGACGGUAGGUCAGUAUGCCCCGAAACCCCCGGGCUACACGCGCGCUACAAUGGGCGGGACAAUGGGAUCCGACCCCGAAAGGGGAAGGGAAUCCCCUAAACCCGCCCCCAGUUCGGAUCGCGGGCUGCAACUCGCCCGCGUGAAGCUGGAAUCCCUAGUACCCGCGUGUCAUCAUCGCGCGGCGAAUACGUCCCUGCUCCUUGCACACACCGCCCGUCACUCCACCCGAGCGGGGUCUGGAUGAGGCUCCGUCCUCUGGGCGGGGUCGAGUCCAGGC